rnacentral:tRNA from 1 species
GCCCUAGUAGUUUAAUAUAAAAUUCUACCCUUGUAAGAUAGAGAUGGACACCCUAGGGCU